UACGGAGGGGGCUAGCGUUGUUCGGAAUUACUGGGCGUAAAGCGCACGUAGGCGGCUUUGUAAGUUAGAGGUGAAAGCCCGGGGCUCAACUCCGGAAUUGCCUUUAAGACUGCAUCGCUAGAAUUGUGGAGAGGUAAGUGGAAUUCCGAGUGUAGAGGUGAAAUUCGUAGAUAUUCGGAAGAACACCAGUGGCGAAGGCGGGUCUCUGGACAGUUCCUGACACUGAGACACGAAGGCCAGGGGAGCAAACGGG
rnacentral:rRNA from 1 species